rnacentral:rRNA from 1 species
UACAGAGGUCUCAAGCGUUGUUCGGAUUCAUUGGGCGUAAAGGGUGCGUAGGUGGCGGGGUAAGUCAGGUGUGAAAUCCCGGGGCUCAACCCCGGAACUGCAUUGGAUACUGCCUUGCUUGAGUACUGGAGAGGGAACUGGAAUUUACGGUGUAGCAGUGAAAUGCGUAGAGAUCGUAAGGAAGGCCAGUGGCGAAGGCGAGUUCCUGGACAGUUACUGACGCUGAGGCACGAAGGCCAGGGGAGCAAACGGG